AUGACAGCUAAAAGGGAGACAGCCAGGAGAGGGCGUCUGGUGGACCGAGAGGGUGAUCCUAAGAAUGACUCGUGGAUCUUCGCCCUGGCUGUGCUUCUGAGCAGCACCUUCGUCUACAACAGCCUAAGCACCAUCAACCGCCAGGCCCUGGAGCAGCUGCACACCAGCUAUGUUACAGAACUCACUGAGCUGAUCAGAGCAAGGUCUUCCCCAAAUCCUGAUGGAAUCAAGAAUUCCACAGAAUUUGUGAGUUUCUUUCCAGACUUUGUCUGGACUGUUUUAGAUUUCAUGCUGGAGCUGAAGUUAAAUGGGAAAAACAUCACAAGUGAUGAGUACCUAGAGAAUGCCCUGAAAUUGAUCCCAGGCAACAGUCCCAGAAUCCAAGCAUCCAAUUUGCCCAGGGAAUUGCAUCAGACAAUUCUUUCCUAACCGGAAGUGUUUUGUCUUUGACCGGCCAACACAUGACAAAGAACUCUUACAAAAACUUGAGACCAUCUCAGAAGACCAGCUGGAUCCUAACUUCUGGGAAGGAACAAAGGCUUUUGUUUCUUACAUCUUCCCUUAUGCCAAGAUGAAGACCCUCAGAGAGGGAAUACUCCUGGAUCACCAAGGACUGGGGACUCUGGUGACAACCUACGUGGAUGCCAUCAACAGUGGAACAGUACCUUGUCUGGAUGAUGCGGUGACAAUCUGGCCCAGCAUGAGAACUCAGUAGUUGUGCAGAAGGCAGUGGACCACUACAGUGAGCAGAUGGCCCAGAGCCUGAGGCUCCCCACAGACAUGCUCCAGGAGCUGCUGGAUGAGCACACAGCUUGUGAGAAGGAAGCCAUCUCUGUCUUCAUCGAGCACUCCUUCAAGGAUGAGAAUCAGCUGUUCCUGAAGCUGGUGAAAUUAAUAGGUGAGAAGAAAGGGCUUUUUGUGUUGAAGAAUGAAGAAGCAUCGGAUAAAUACUGCCGGGAAGAGCUGGAACGACUUUCAAAGGAUUUUAUGGAAAAUAUCUCGACAUUUUCUGUUCCUGGGGGACACAGGCUCUACGUGGACAUGAGGGAGAAGAUUGAACGUGACUACUGGCAGGUGCCCAGGAAAGGGGUGAAGGCAAGUGAAGUCUUCCAGAGCUCUCUGAAGUCACAGGUCAUCAUUGAGAAUUCAAUCCUGCAGGCAGAUACAGCCCUCACUGCAGGGGAGAAGGCCAUUGCAGAGGAACGUACCCAGAGGGAGGCAGCCGAGAAGGAGCAGGAGCUGCUAAGACAGAAGCAGAGGGAGCAGCAACAGUUAAUGGAGGCUCAAGAGAAAAGUAACAAGGAAAACCUAGAGCAACUGAGAGAGAAGCUGGUGCAGGAGAGAAAGCAGCUCAUCGAAGAACAUAACAUGAUGUUGGAGAAGCAACUGAAGGAUCAAAAGGCUUACCUUGAGGAAGGAUUUAAGAAGAAAGCUGAGGAAAUGAGUGGCGAGAUCCAGCGACUAAGCUAUCAUAUCAAGUAUAUGAAGCAAAACAGUGGUUCCAUCGUGGACCAUAUCUUAAGAGGAUUUGCUUCAGUGAUUUUUGCUCCCAUUUUACUUGUUGAGGAGGCUGUAAGAGGCAUUGCUUCAUUAUUUAAAUAGGAUUGACUCUUCUUUUGAAGAAAUGAUAGACUGAUAUACACUUUGUUCUAUUUUAAAGCUGUCUGUUUUCCAUUUUCACUCAGUGAUGUUUAAACGUAAAAAGUGCUGAUUGGAGGACAUCUGUGCCCCACACACACGAGAUAGAACACAAUCAAACAUGUCUGCACAGACAAUGCUUGCCUUUAGAGAGCACACAUUUAUUUUUUAAACCAUUCUUGUGGAAGCUAUGCAAUUAGUCAUUACAUGCGAUUACUGUUGGCUAGUUUGACUGGAUAUAGAAUCAGCUAGGUGACAAGGUUUUCCCCACUCCUAUGAGGACCAUGUAGCCUGAUUAGCUUGUGGGGGGUUGUCUCAGGUUAGUAUGGUAGGGAAGCCAUCCUAAGUGUGAGCAGCACCGUUCCUGUGGACUGAAGACACAGUAGAAAGAGGAAAGCAAACUGGCCCUACUACUUGUGGCUUCCUGACUGUGGAUGUCAUGUAAACAGCCAGCCUUGAUUUCUGUCCGAAUGCAUUCUCCACCCUUGGCAGAAUGUACCAUCGUGAUACAUGGACCACAACAAACCCUUUAUGAAGUUGCUUUUGUGAGGGUAUUUUAAUCACAGCCAAGAGGAAAAGCCGUUGAUAUCCUAACAGUGAUAAGCCUGGAAACUAAGUACUUAAACAUUGCUGAGUCAGAUUGCUAAUGGAUUUCAAUAUGACUUGAUCCUGGGGUACUAUAUAGUCAAGAAACAAUGUCAGUCAAGCAAUCUGUAUAAUGAUCUAAACUGAGCUUUAAAAGUAAGGAUGUCUUUAAAAAUAAAGUCAAAAUACCAUACAA